GGGGGUAUAGCUCAGUGGUAGAGCACGUGCUUGCCAUGCAUGAGGUCCUGGGUUCAAUCCCAGUGCCUCCU
rnacentral:tRNA from 1 species